AAGUCGAGGGGUAGCAGGGUAGCAAUACCGCUGACGACCGGCGCACGGGUGAGUAACACGUAUCCAACCUUCCCAUAACUCGGGGAUAGCCUUUCGAAAGAAAGAUUAAUACCCGAUAGUACUUUUUUAGGGCAUCUUAGAAAAGUUAAAGAUUUAUUGGUUAUGGAUGGGGAUGCGUUCCAUUAGAUAGUUGGUGAGGUAACGGCUCACCAAGUCUUCGAUGGAUAGGGGCUCUGAGAGGAAGGUCCCCCACAUUGGUACUGAGACACGGACCAAACUCCUACGGGAGGCAGCAGUGAGGAAUAUUGGUCAAUGGGCGAGAGCCUGAACCAGCCAAGUAGCGUGAAGGAUGACGG
rnacentral:rRNA from 1 species